rnacentral:rRNA from 1 species
UAAUACAUGCAAGUCGUACGCUUCUUUUUCCACCGGAGCUUGCUCCACCGGAAAAAGAAGAGUGGCGAACGGGUGAGUAACACGUGGGUAACCUGCCCAUCAGAAGGGGAUAACACUUGGAAACAGGUGCUAAUACCGUAUAACAAUCGAAACCGCAUGGUUUUGAUUUGAAAGGCGCUUUCGGGUGUCGCUGAUGGAUGGACCCGCGGUGCAUUAGCUAGUUGGUGAGGUAACGGCUCACCAAGGCCACGAUGCAUAGCCGACCUGAGAGGGUGAUCGGCCACAUUGGGACUGAGACACGGCCCAAACUCCUACGGGAGGCAGCAGUAGGGAAUCUUCGGCAAUGGACGAAAGUCUGACCGAGCAACGCCGCGUGAGUGAAGAAGGUUUUCGGAUCGUAAAACUCUGUUGUUAGAGAAGAACAAGGAUGAGAGUAACUGUUCAUCCCUUGACGGUAUCUAACCAGAAAGCCACGGCUAACUACGUGCCAGCAGCCGCGGUAAUACGUAGGUGGCAAGCGUUGUCCGGAUUUAUUGGGCGUAAAGCGAGCGCAGGCGGUUUCUUAAGUCUGAUGUGAAAGCCCCCGGCUCAACCGGGGAGGGUCAUUGGAAACUGGGAGACUUGAGUGCAGAAGAGGAGAGUGGAAUUCCAUGUGUAGCGGUGAAAUGCGUAGAUAUAUGGAGGAACACCAGUGGCGAAGGCGGCUCUCUGGUCUGUAACUGACGCUGAGGCUCGAAAGCGUGGGGAGCAAACAGGAUUAGAUACCCUGGGUAGUC